GCAUGGGUGGUUCAGUGGUAGAUUCCCUCCGCCUGCCACGCGGGAGGCCCGGGUUCGAUUCCCGGCCCAUGCA